rnacentral:misc_RNA from 1 species
CGCACAUUGCACUCCUUGGUAUUCCGGGGAGUAUGCCUGUUCGAGCGUCAUUACACCCUUCAAGCUUUGCUUGGUAUUGGAACUCAUCUGUCAAAAAGAUGUUUCCGAAAAAGAGUGGUUGUUUGUAUAACUUCAAGCGUGGUGAAAAUUUUACGUUCCGAUAGUUGUGCGAGCUUGCCAAAAACAUAUCUUCAAUAAUUUGACCUCGGAUCAGGUAGGGAUACCCGCUGAACUUAA